UUGACCUCGGAUCAGGUAGGAAUACCCGCUGAACUUAAGCAUAUCAAUAAGCGGAGGAAAAGAAACCAACAGGGAUUGCCUCAGUAACGGCGAGUGAAGCGGCAACAGCUCAAAUUUGAAAUCUGGCCUCACGGUCCGAGUUGUAAUUUGUAGAGGAUGCUUUUGGCGAGGUGCUUUCCGAGUUCCCUGGAACGGGACGCCAUAGAGGGUGAGAGCCCCGUACGGUAAGACCACCGAGCCUCUGUAAAGCUCCUUCGACGAGUCGAGUAGUUUGGGAAUGCUGCUCUAAAUGGGAGGUGUACGUCUUCUAAAGCUAAAUACCGGCCAGAGACCGAUAGCGCACAAGUAGAGUGAUCGAAAGAUGAAAAGCACUUUGAAAAGAGGGUUAAAAAGUACGUGAAAUUGUUGAAAGGGAAGCAUUCAUGACCAGACUUGGGCUUGGUUGAACAUCCGGCGUUCUCGCCGGUGCACUCUGCCAGUCCAGGCCAGCAUCAGUUUGCCCCGGGGGACAAAGGCGGUGGGAAUGUGGCUCCCUUCGGGGAGUGUUAUAGCCCGCCGUGUAAUGCCCUGGGGCGGACUGAGGAACGCGCUUCGGCACGAUGCGGC
rnacentral:rRNA from 1 species